AAAACAUGCAAACGCCAAACAGAAAGAUGUUGGUGUGAUGGUGGAAUUGAACUCAGGACCUUCUUCCUGUGACCUUGACGACACAAGAUGGAGCCACUUGAUCAGCUCCUCAACAUAUUCAACUAAUGAUGACCAUCAGCUCUGCUGUUCAGUGUUUCAGAGUUUACAUCGAUGUAGCUUCUGCUGUUACUUCUGCUAAAACAUAUAUUACUAGUACUACCUUUAGAGGUCAGGGCAGCCGGAUUCAUCAGACUCUUUAUCUCUUCAUAACACACAGCUACCUCUCUAAGCUGCACCCCACCC
ensembl:lncRNA